rfam:Drosophila ficusphila unplaced genomic scaffold scf7180000454048, whole genome shotgun sequence
AAAUGGGCUUCGUCGAAGACCGAUUUGCAACUUUCGCAAUGUGUUAAUUGGUUCAAAUCGAAGCCCAAAGCAAUUUUUGAUACGACGGUCUCUGAUUUGACAGCUCACAGUCAUUUUAGUAACUUUUACGUGCAAUAACAAAA